AUAAGCAGGACCAAUGAAAAAACAUCUCCCACACGAAGACGGCUACUAAAGAUUUGUGGAGUGACCGCCACUUCAAAUGCUAAAACAGCCACGGGAAACACCAAGGAUCACAAGGAAUCAAGGAAUCAAGGACACAUGUCAUCAGCAAAAAUGAGGACAGCCGUCCAGUAACUGAACUCAGACUUGGAAUUUUGCCAUGUAGCUGACCAAGAUUUCAAAAUAGCUGCACUGACCAAACUCAUCGAGUUACAAGAAAAGAAGAACAAUACGCGAACCAAAAGAGAAAUUUAACAAAGAGAUAGAAAUCAUACAAAAGAGCCAAAUAGAAAUUCUGGACUCGAGGAAUUCAGUUAAUGAGUAAAAUUAAUAGAAGGCACGGGACAGCAUCUACCACAGAACAGAAUGAUUAGAGUUCCAGAAAAAGGAGAGGUAGAGAGAGAAGGAACGGAAAGCUUAUGUAAAGAAAUGAUAACCGAGAACUUCCUAAACCCAGGGAGAUACUUGGACAUCCAAAUUCAAGACUAAUUAACACACCGAAAGGAAAAAGAUGCUGUGUCUUCGUCUGAUUUUGACAUCAGGAUAAGACUGGCCUGGAAGAACAAGUUUGAGGAUGUCCCCCCCACCCCCCGCCCCACUUCCAAUUUUUGGGCAGAGUUUCAGAACGAUUGGCAUUCAUUCUUCUUUGGAUGUUCAGUAGAAUUUGCCAGUGAAGCCAUCUGGUGUCCCGGGAUUUUCUAUGUUGACGGGUCUUUGAUGACCCAUUGAGUCUCCUUGCUUAUUAUCGAGAGAGAGAUAAUGAGAGCAG